rnacentral:rRNA from 1 species
UACGGCCAUAUCAAGUUGAAACAGCGGUUCCCGUACAAUCACCAAAUUUAAGCAACGUCGAGCGUGGUCAGUACCUAGAUCGGUGAUCGUUUGGGAAUACCAGAUGAUGUAAG